rnacentral:tRNA from 1 species
UAGCUCAGUUGGUCAGAGCAGACGGCUCAUAACCGUCCGGUCGUACUUCUCGUAAUCCAGGAAGGCCGUCAGCUCCGUCCGCAGUAGCGUGUUUACGGCCA